UUGUUAGUUGUCCAUCAUUCAGUUGGGCACUCUAGCGAGACUGCCGGUAAUAAACCGGAGGAAGGUGGGGGAGUGACGUCAAAUCAUCAUGCCCCUUAUGACCUGGGCUACACACGUGCUACAAUGGUUGGUACAACGAGUUGCGAGUCGGUGACGGCGAGCUAAUCUCUUAAAGCCAAUCUCAGUUCGGAUUGUAGGCUGCAACUCGCCUACAUGAAGUCGGAAUCGCUAGUAAUCGCGGAUCAGCACGCCGCGGUGAAUACGUUCCCGGGCCUU
rnacentral:rRNA from 1 species